rnacentral:rRNA from 1 species
UCCGGUUGAUCCUGCCGGACCUGACUGCUAUCGGAUUGAUACUAAGCCAUGCGAGUCAUUGUAGCAAUACAAGGCAUACGGCUCAGUAACGCGUAGUCAACCUAACCUAUGGACGGGAAUAACCUCGGGAAACUGAGAAUAAUGCCCGAUAGAACAUUAUACCUGGAAUGGUUUAUGUUCCAAAUGAUUUAUCGCCGUAGGAUGGGACUGCGGCCUAUCAGUUUGUUGGUGAGGUAAUGGCCCACCAAGACUAUUACAGGUACGGGCUCUGAGAGGAGUAGCCCGGAGAUGGGUACUGAGACACGGACCCAGGCCCUAUGGGGCGCAGCAGGCGAGAAAACUUUGCAAUGUGCGAAAGCACGACAAGGUUAAUCCGAGUGAUUUCUGCUAAAGAAAUCUUUUGUUAGUCCUAGAAACACUAACGAAUAAGGGGUGGGCAAGUUCUGGUGUCAGCCGCCGCGGUAAAACCAGCACCUCAAGUGGUCAGGAUGAUUAUUGGGCCUAAAGCAUCCGUAGCCGGCUCUGUAAGUUUUCGGUUAAAUCUGUACGCUUAACGUACAGGCCGCCGGGAAUACUGCAAAGCUAGGGAGUGGGAGAAGUAGACGGUACUCGGUAGGAAGUGGUAAAAUGCUUUGAUCUAUCGAUGACCACCUGUGGCGAAGGCGGUCUACUAGAACACGUCCGACGGUGAGGGAUGAAAGCUGGGGGAGCAAACCGGAUUAGAUACCCGGGUAGUCCCAGCUGUAAACUAUGCAAACUCAGUGAUGCAUUGGCUUGUGGCCAAUGCAGUGCUGCAGGGAAGCCGUUAAGUUUGCCGCCUGGGAAGUACGUACGCAAGUAUGAAACUUAAAGGAAUUGGCGGGGGAGCACCACAAGGGGUGAAGCCUGCGGUUCAAUUGGAGUCAACGCCGGA